rnacentral:rRNA from 1 species
CAGUAGCCGCGGUAAUACGAAGGGGGCCAGCGUUGUUCGGAAUUACUGGGCGUAAAGGGCGCGUAGGCGGCCAUUCAAGUUAGAUGUGAAAGCCCUGGGCUCAACCUAGGAAUUGCAUUUGAUACUGUUUGGCUUGAGUUCGGGAGAGGUGAGUGGAAUUCCCAGUGUAGAGGUGAAAUUCGUAGAUAUUGGGAAGAACACCAGUGGCGAAGGCGGCUCACUGGACCGACACUGACGCUGAGGCGCGAAAGCGUGGGGAGCAAACAGGAUUAGAUACCCCAGUAGUCCCUGUCUCUUAUAC